rnacentral:rRNA from 1 species
UACACUCCUGCGGGAGGCAGCAGUGGGGAAUAUUGGACAAUGGGCGCAAGCCUGAUCCAGCCAUGCCGCGUGAGUGAUGAAGGCCCUAGGGUUGUAAAGCUCUUUUGUGCGGGAAGAUAAUGACGGUACCGCAAGAAUAAGCCCCGGCUAACUUCGUGCCAGCAGCCGCGGUAAUACGAAGGGGGCUAGCGUUGCUCGGAAUCACUGGGCGUAAAGGGUGCGUAGGCGGGUCUUUAAGUCAGGGGUGAAAUCCUGGAGCUCAACUCCAGAACUGCCUUUGAUACUGAAGAUCUUGAGUUCGGGAGAGGUGAGUGGAACUGCGAGUGUAGAGGUGAAAUUCGUAGAUAUUCGCAAGAACACCAGUGGCGAAGGCGGCUCACUGGCCCGAUACUGACGCUGAGGCACGAAAGCGUGGGGAGCAAACAGGAUUAGAAACCCCUGUAGUCCCAUG